rnacentral:rRNA from 1 species
UCCAGAGAUUUCCGAAUGGGGAAACCCAGCAUGAGUUAUGUCAUGUUAUCGAUAUGUGAAUACAUAGCAUAUCAGAAGGCACACCCGGAGAACUGAAACAUCUUAGUACCCGGAGGAAGAGAAAGAAAAUUCGAUUCCCUUAGUAGCGGCGAGCGAAACGGGAAGAGCCCAAACCAACAAGCUUGCUUGUUGGGGUUGUAGGACACUCUAUACGGAGUUACAAAGGACGACAUUAGACGAAUCAUCUGGAAAGAUGAAUCAAAGAAGGUAAUAAUCCUGUAGUCGAAAAUGUUGUCUCUCUUGAGUGGAUCCUGAGUACGACGGAGCACGUGAAAUUCCGUCGGAAUCUGGGAGGACCAUCUCCUAAGGCUAAAUACUCUCUAGUGACCGAUAGUGAACCAGUACCGUGAGGGAAAGGUGAAAAGCACCCCGGAAGGGGAGUGAAAUAGAACCUGAAACCGUGUGCUUACAAGUAGUCAGAGCCCGUUAAUGGGUGAUGGCGUGCCUUUUGUAGAAUGAACCGGCGAGUUACGAUUUGAUGCAAGGUUAAGCAGUAAAUGUGGAGCCGUAGCGAAAGCGAGUCUGAAUAGGGCGUUUAGUAUUUGGUCGUAGACCCGAAACCAGGUGAUCUACCCUUGGUCAGGUUGAAGUUCAGGUAACACUGAAUGGAGGACCGAACCGACUUACGUUGAAAAGUGAGCGGAUGAACUGAGGGUAGCGGAGAAAUUCCAAUCGAACCUGGAGAUAGCUGGUUCUCUCCGAAAUAGCUUUAGGGCUAGCCUCAAGUGAUGAUUAUUGGAGGUAGAGCACUGUUUGGACGAGGGGCCCCUCUCGGGUUACCGAAUUCAGACAAACUCCGAAUGCCAAUUAAUUUAACUUGGGAGUCAGAACAUGGGUGAUAAGGUCCGUGUUCGAAAGGGAAACAGCCCAGACCACCAGCUAAGGUCCCAAAAUAUAUGUUAAGUGGAAAAGGAUGUGGCGUUGCCCAGACAACUAGGAUGUUGGCUUAGAAGCAGCCAUCAUUUAAAGAGUGCGUAAUAGCUCACUAGUCGAGUGACACUGCGCCGAAAAUGUACCGGGGCUAAACAUAUUACCGAAGCUGUGGAUUGUCCUUUGGACAAUGGUAGGAGAGCGUUCUAAGGGCGUUGAAGCAUGAUCGUAAGGACAUGUGGAGCGCUUAGAAGUGAGAAUGCCGGUGUGAGUAGCGAAAGACGGGUGAGAAUCCCGUCCACCGAUUGACUAAGGUUUCCAGAGGAAGGCUCGUCCGCUCUGGGUUAGUCGGGUCCUAAGCUGAGGCCGACAGGCGUAGGCGAUGGAUAACAGGUUGAUAUUCCUGUACCACCUAUA